GGCGCCGUGGCGGAGUGGCUACGCAAGGGCCUGCAAAGCCCUGGACCCGGGUUCGAUUCCCGGCGGCGCCUCCU
rnacentral:tRNA from 1 species